GACGUAGGGCGCGAGCGUUGUCCGGAUUUAUUGGGCGUAAAGAGCUCGUAGGCGGCUUGUUGCGUCAGCUGUGAAAACCCGCAGCUCAACUGUGGGCUUGCAGCUGAUACGGGCAGGCUUGAGUUCGGUAGGGGAGACUGGAAUUCCUGGUGUAGCGGUGAAAUGCGCAGAUAUCUGGAGGAACACCGGUGGCGAAGGCAGGUCUCUGGGCCACUACUGACGCUGAGAAGCGAAAGCGUGGGGAGCGAACAGG
rnacentral:rRNA from 1 species